rnacentral:rRNA from 1 species
GAUGAACGCUGGCGGCGUGCCUAAUACAUGCAAGUCGAGCGAAUGGAUUAAGAGCUUGCUCUUAUGAAGUUAGCGGCGGACGGGUGAGUAACACGUGGGUAACCUGCCCAUAAGACUGGGAUAACUCCGGGAAACCGGUGCUAAUACCGGAUAACAUUUUGAACCGCAUGGUUCGAAAUUGAAAGGCGGCUUCGGCUGUCACUUAUGGAUGGACCCGCGUCGCAUUGGCCAGUUGGUGAGGUAACGGCUCACCAAGGCAACGAUGCGUAGCCGACCUGAGAGGGUGAUCGGCCACACUGGGACUGAGACACGGCCCAGACUCCUACGGGAGGCAGCAGUAGGGAAUCUUCCGCAAUGGACGAAAGUCUGACGGAGCAACGCCGCGUGAGUGAUGAAGGCUUUCGGGUCGUAAAACUCUGUUGUUAGGGAAGAACAAGUGCUAGUUGAAUAAGCUGGCACCUUGACGGUACCUAACCAGAAAGCCACGGCUAACUACGUGCCAGCCGCCGCAGUAA